AGCUGAGAGGUGGUGCAUGGCCGUCGUCAGUUCGUACUGUGAAGCAUCCUGUUAAGUCAGGCAACGAGCGAGACCCACGCCACAGUUGCCAGCGUACUCUCCGGAGUGACGGGUACACUGUGGGGACCGCCGCUGCUAAAGCGGAGGAAGGAAUGGGCAACGGUAGGUCAGUAUGCCCCGAAUAUCCCGGGCUACACGCGAGCUACAAUGGUUGGUACAAUGGGUAUCUACCCCGAAAGGGGACGGGAAUCUCCUAAAACCAAUCUUAGUUCGGAUUGAGGGCUGCAACUCGCCCUCAUGAAGCUGGAAUCCGUAGUAAUCGCGGAUCAGCAUGCCGCGGUGAAUACGUUCCCGGGCCUU
rnacentral:rRNA from 1 species